CGAGCGGCGGACGGGUGAGUAAUGCAUAGGAAUCUGCCCGAUAGUGGGGGAUAACCUGGGGAAACCCAGGCUAAUACCGCAUACGUCCUACGGGAGAAAGGGGGCUUCGGCUCCCGCUAUUGGAUGAGCCUAUGUCGGAUUAGCUAGUUGGUAAGGUAAUGGCUUACCAAGGCAACGAUCCGUAGCUGGUCUGAGAGGAUGAUCAGCCACAUCGGGACUGAGACACGGCCCGAACUCCUACGGGAGGCAGCAGUGGGGAAUAUUGGACAAUGGGGGCAACCCUGAUCCAGCCAUGCCGCGUGUGUGAAGAAGGCCCUCGGGUUGUAAAGCACUUUCAGCGAGGAAGAACGCCUAUCGGUUAAUACCCGGUAGGAAAGACAUCACUCGCAGAAGAAGCACCGGCUAACUCCGUGCCAGCAGCCGCGGUAAUACGGAGGGUGCAAGCGUUAAUCGGAAUUACUGGGCGUAAAGCGCGCGUAGGUGGCUUGAUAAGCCGGUUGUGAAAGCCCCGGGCUCAACCUGGGAACGGCAUCCGGAACUGUCAGGCUAGAGUGCAGGAGAGGAAGGUAGAAUUCCCGGUGUAGCGGUGAAAUGCGUAGAGAUCGGGAGGAAUACCAGUGGCGAAGGCGGCCUUCUGGACUGACACUGACACUGAGGUGCGAAAGCGUGGGUAGCAAACAGGAUUAGAUACCCUGGUAGUCCACGCCGUAAACGAUGUCGACCAGCCGUUGGGUGCCUAGAGCACUUUGUGGCGAAGUUAACGCGAUAAGUCGACCGCCUGGGGAGUACGGCCGCAAGGU
rnacentral:rRNA from 1 species